GACGAACGCUGGCGGCGUGCCUAAUACAUGCAAGUAGAACGCUGAAGGAGGAGCUUGCUUCUCCGGAUGAGUUGCGAACGGGUGAGUAACGCGUAGGUAACCUGCCUGGUAGCGGGGGAUAACUAUUGGAAACGGUAGCUAAUACCGCAUAACAGUAGAUGUUGCAUGACAUUUGCUUAAAAGGUGCAAUUGCAUCACUACCAGAUGGACCUGCGUUGUAUUAGCUAGUUGGUGAGGUAACGGCUCACCAAGGUGACGAUACAUAGCCGACCUGAGAGGGUGAUCGGCCACACUGGGACUGAGACACGGCCCAGACUCCUACGGGAGGCAGCAGUAGGGAAUCUUCGGCAAUGGACGGAAGUCUGACCGAGCAACGCCGCGUGAGUGAAGAAGGUUUUCGGAUCGUAAAGCUCUGUUGUAAGAGAAGAACGAGUGUGAGAGUGGAAAGUUCACACUGUGACGGUAUCUUACCAGAAAGGGACGGCUAACUACGUG
rnacentral:rRNA from 1 species